rnacentral:rRNA from 1 species
UAUUGGUCAAUAGCCUAACGGCUGAACCAGCAACUUGGAGGAAUGUAUAGGGAAAACUGGUAAAAUGUGAUGUACCUAGUAAUAUUAGUAAUGAAUAUGAGAUUAACUAAGUUAAUUAAAAUUCAAAGUAUAUAUUUGAUAAUGACAUUAUAUACUUAGGUCUUGACCAAGUCACGUGCCAGCAGUCGCGGUAAUACGUGGUAGACCAGUGUUAUUCAUCUUUAAAAGGUAUAUAGGGUACCUAGACGGUUAAUUAAGCUAAUGAGUACUAAUUAACUAGAGUUUGAUGUAAGAAGGAUUGAGAACGGUGAGUGGAGAGAUGAAAUUCAGUGAUACCACUUAGGAACUGGUAGAGGCGAAGGCAACCUUCUAUGUAAAAACUGACGUUGAGGGACGAAGGCUCAUGUUAAAGAAUAGGAUUAGAUACCCUAGUAUUUUGAGCAGAAAAUGAUGAGUGUCAUAUGCAAGAGAUUAAUAAAAAAUAUAAAAAAAAUUUUUGUGUAUAAAUGAAAGUGUAAGCACUCCACCUCAAGAGUAACAUGGCAACAUGGGAACUGAAAUCAUUAGACCGUUUCUGAAACUCGUAGUGAAGUAUGUUGUUUAAUUCGAUAAUCCGCGAAUAACCUUACCACAGCUUGAAUAACUGCCGCAUAAUGUAGCUACAAGUGUUGCACGGCUGUCUCCAGUCAAUGUUGUGAAACUUUGGUUAGCUCCAUAAAAUUGACGUAAACCCUGGCUUUAUUUAUUAUAGAGCAGUUCGCCGCUAUAUUGGUAGUGAUAUAUGGGACCAGGACAAGUCAUCAU